rnacentral:rRNA from 1 species
UGGGGAAUAUUGGACAAUGGGCGCAAGCCUGAUCCAGCAAUGCCGCGUGUGUGAAGAAGGCCUUCGGGUUGUAAAGCACUUUUAUCAGGAGCGAAACGCUGUCGGCUAAUACCCGGCGGAACUGACGGUACCUGAGGAAUAAGCACCGGCUAACUUCGUGCCAGCAGCCGCGGUAAUACGAAGGGUGCAAGCGUUAAUCGGAAUUACUGGGCGUAAAGCGUGCGUAGGCGGUUUCUUAAGUCUGCUGUGAAAUCCCCGGGCUCAACCUGGGAAUGGCAGUGGAUACUGGGAGGCUAGAGUGUGUCAGAGGGUGGUGGAAUUCCCGGUGUAGCGGUGAAAUGCGUAGAGUCGGGAGGAACAUCAGUGGCGAAGGCGGCCACCUGGGACAACACUGACGCUGAGGCACGAAAGCGUGGGGAGCAAACAGGAUUAGAUACCCUGGUAGUCCACGCCCUAAACGAUGCGAACUGGAUGUUGGUCUCAACUCGGAGAUCAGUGUCGAAGCUAACGCGUUAAGUUCGCCGCCUGGGGAGUACGGUCGCAAGACUGAAACUCAAAGGAAUUGACGGGGUCAUAGCUGUUUCC